rnacentral:rRNA from 1 species
UGGCCGCAGUAAUUUGACUGUGCAAAGGUAGCAUAAUCAUUAGUUUUUUAAUUAAAAGCUUGAAUGAAUGGUUGGACGAAAUAAAAUCUGUCUCUUAAUGAUAAAUAAAAUUUAAUUUUUAAGUUAAAAAGCUUAAAUUAAUAUAAAAGACGAGAAGACCCCAUAGAUUUUUAUAUAUUUUUUUAUAUUUUUAAUUAGGAAUAUAUUAUUAAUUAUAAGUCAAUAUAUUGUAUUGGGGUAAUAGAAAGAUUAAAUCAAUUCUUUUUUUAUUUGUUCAAUAAUUUUUGUUUAUUUGAUCCUUUAUUAGAGAUUAAAAGAUUAAGUUACCUUGGGGAUAACAGCGUAAUUUUUUUAGAGAGUUCUUAUCGAAAAAAGAGUUUGCGACCUCGAUGUUGGAUUAAAAAUUAUUUCGGGUGUAGAAGUUCGAAAUUUUGGUCUGUUCGACCAUUAAAUUUUUACAUGAUCUGAGUUCAGACCGGCGUAAGCCAGGUUGGUUUCUAUCUUUAUUUAGAUAAUUUAUUUUAGUACGAAAGGACCAAAUAAUUUGUAUAUUGAUAUUUAUUUAUUGAAUGAAA